ensembl:lncRNA
CGCAUAUAAACUUUAAAAAAAUUUUUAACUUAAAAUCAAAAGUCUAAAUCAACUAGCCAGUUAUACACUUUAAUUCAGCAUUGCAAGGCUACUUUCCAGAUACUUUAUUAAACAUUAAAAGUGUUUCUAGGAGCCCGCUCAGUGGCACAGUGGUUAAGUUAGUAAGCUCCGCUUCGGGGGGCCCAGGGUUCACUGGCUGGGAUCCUGGGCGUGGACUUACACACUGCUUAUCAAGCCAUGCUAAGGCAGGUGUCCCACAUAUAAAAAAAGUAGAGUAAGGUGGGCACAGAUGUUAGCUCAGGGCCAGUCUUCCUCAGCAAAAAGAGGAGGAUUGGCGGUGGACGUUAGUUUAGAGCUAAUCUUGCUUGGAAAAAAAAAAAGUUCCUAUUAAAUACUACUAAACAUUAAAAGUAUUUAAAACAUUAAAUGCAUUUAAAAUGUCAAAUAUACAGAUUCUUUAAUACAAAAAAAAUAAUACUAUGAGGUUUGAUUUCCUUCAUUAUAUCUCUAUUUAAUUCUAAAUCGUCCCAGGAUUAAGACAUACAUAUCCACUAAGAAAACAAUAUUGUCAUCCCAAGCAAAUCUAGGAACACCUUCCCAAGAAAUGUGUGGGUUGGCCUUCUUACCUAGGAGGUUUCUCUAUGGUCAGAGUGUCUUUUGGCUUCUGAGUCUUCAAUUCUUGCCUUCUCUCUUUCGUAUCCUGAAGAAAGGGGUUUAGCUUUCUCUGUGGAAGUAGAGUCAGCCAGACUCCAGUUCUGUACUUUCUUGCCAGCCACCUCCUUAAAAGCUGGCUUCUUCCCUUUCUCAGGAUUCUGGAGCACUCAGGAAGCCUCUGAGGCCCUGAACUCCUGCCUAAAGGCCUGGACUAAGCCAGGUCUUGUUGAUAAUUCACUGCAGCCUGAACCUCUUGGAUCCUUCAUCAGCCAGUAGUGGGGAGAAAAAAAUGUAUUGUUAAGAUUAAAGGCAGUCAACAGACUUCCCUUAGAAGAAAGAACUGUGUUUAGCUAAAGAACUAGACUUAGCAAAGCCCUUUCUUAGGCCAUUGUGAUUGUCAAGGUAAUCCUAGGUGAUGGCCUGAAUAAGAGUCAAAUGGCUCGACGUGAUGAAGCAUAAAUUUUGAGUUCCAGAGGGCAGUCAGAGAGGAAAGGAGAGAACAAUUAGAGUAAAUAGGGAGAGAGAGGAGCCAAGCUCUGGGGAUAAGGUGGGUGUAUGGACUCUAUGGGGAGGGACCUGUGAAAAUUCUUGGUGACAGGAAUGAUACUUCUAGGAACUGGGGUAUGUAAUGUUCAUGAUAGUUUGUUCGGUGCUGUUUCCCUCCCUGUCAGGACCAUAGCAGUGUCGUAUGAAAAUUAAUCUGACAGUGAUGAGUUGUGGCUGGAUCAGAGCUAGGAGAGAUUUGGGGUGGAGGACAGUCGGGAGCCAAUCACAAUUGUCCAGGAAUGAAGACUUUAACUAUUGUGGUAUUGACUGGAAAGGAAUGGAAGUGACAGAUGGAGGAGACUCAGGGACAUCUGUAAGAGCAGGAGUUGGAGCCAAAGUGAGAGAGAAUGAAUGGUGAGAGCACUCACAGAAGGAAUGAAGUCAGACAAUUGUGGGCAGAGUGGGCAGGAAGGAAUAGACUGGGUAGAGAGCAUGAGGCAGCCAUGUUGAAUAUGAUAGCCAGGACCUUCAGGCGGAAUGCUAUCGCUGGAAGUUAUACCAUAGCAGUAAUAUUUGAAACAGUGUGAAUUUCGAGGGACUGAAUUUAGAGAGGAAAGAACAGGCUGUGCACCACAGGACCUUUGCAAGCUCUGUACAUUAGAAUUAGGGAGAUGGGGAAAGGGGCAAAGAACCCCUGAGGAAAGGAAAGAAGUGGUGUGAAAGAGAGGUGAUCUUGGAUAUUGCCAAAUGGUAGAGACCUAAGGACAGAAUAAAUGAACUUAUCCCAACAUAUAUGAAAAAUACAAUUCAGUUUAGUUCCUUAGCCACAUAUUAAACAACUUUGAUGUGUUAGACCCAGAGAAUACAAAUAUAAAUAAAACAAGGUACCUGAGGCUGACCCAGGUAAGGCCACCUCCUAACAUCGGGGAGAAUCUAUCCAGAAAACAGGUCUGCCUGCACGUGGGUGGGGAUGUGUGCUUGGGGAGUGCCAUGGGUCAAUUCUUAAAUUUUACGGCAUAUCACACUCACCCUGAGGGGUUGUUAAAACACAGAGUACUGGGCCACACUCCUAGAGUUUCUGAUUCACUAGGUCUGGGGUGGUGCCUGAGAAUCUGCAUUUCUAACAAGUUCCCAGGUGACGCUGAUGCUACUGGUUCUGGCACUGUACCUAAGAACCACUACUCUAGGUUGAUGGUGAGAUGGGGCUGAAGGUGUGAAAGCACAGGAAAACCAGUCUACCCUUUGCCUUCCUUCUCUACAGGUCUCAAGGUCUGACCACUGAGGUUCCAUCACUUCCUUUGUUGUCUUCUCACCACAAUCUUAACAAUGGCGGUGGCAACUUCUAACUCUAAAAAAUUGUUUAAAAGGCUGCUGCUUUUGCAAAGUGUGCUGGGUUGGAGGUGGAGGAGGGGAAUCACUUCUUAAACCUCUUGCCAACCCCCUACCCCCUCACCCUGCUUCCCUUGCAAGGCCCUGGCCCCCUGCUUCUGAUAAUGACUGAUAAAUGCUCAAGUUUCUAGUUUCUAUUUGGCUGCUACACAGAGGCCUCCAACAUAACCUGGAAGUACAGUUGAGUUCUUAAACUAUGAAAUCCACAUUUAAAGGAUCAAAACAUAAACCACAAGGAUGGCCUUUGCUACAGGCCUCUUCAGUAACUUCACCAAAGGAUUAAUGAGAGAGAAGCACCCAGAUCAGGAGCCAGGGAAGCUUGGUCAGCCAGGGAAGUGAAAGGGGAUUCCAGAGGCUAGCAUUGGCAGUGACUUUCCUGGCUUGGCCUGGGAACAGGGACCAUAAGUUAACUGACUUCUAACACUAUGAUCCUGUUGGCAAGCUCAUUCCUGACGUAGAGAGAGAGGCAUCAAAUUAUUUGGUCUGAUUCCAUGAGUUGUUGGAUUUAUCUAGUUUCAGUGGUUCUGAUUCUCGGGCAUCUCCAUAGGUAGGUCUCUUUGUAAGGAAAGAAUGCACUGGUUUCUCACACUCCGGUAUUACGGUCCUUUAGAAAGUUAUAGUUCUUAUUGUAGUUAAUCUGUUGGUAUUCUGACUUUAUACAUUUUUCAAGAAGUUAGUGAAUUUGAGCCUGCCCCUAAGAGAUGGGUCUGUUCUCAAUAUGCUGAUGAGUUCAGGUUCUGAAACUGCCAGGUUGAGUACCAGACCCUGGACUGGUAAAUUCACCAAGGGAAUGUCUUAGGAGACCGCUAGCCUUCCAGAUUAUUCCCUAGGACACAUGGUCACAGAGCAUGAUGACAAGGAGCCACAACCCACCAUAAAGGUUCAGAAGAGGGUUCUUGGAGAUGAUAACAUCUGAGUUAUAUCUUAAAGACUGAGUAACAGUUUUUAGGUAAAGUGGGGUGGGCAGGGCAUUCUCACCAUGAUCCAGGACACAGAAAAGAGAAUUAGCAUGUCUCUCACUCCAACAGAGACCCCUCUCAUGGAGGAGCAACAAGCCAAGGGGCUCCGCAGGAAUGAUUCCAGCUCUCAGUGAUGCAAUCUGUCUGGGAACGAGAGGAAGACCAUCUGUUGACCCUCAGAAUCAACGUGCUUUCCUGAACCUCUUUCCCUGUAGUUAGUGCCCCUGCUCUGUUUUCUGCAUACCUUGCCAAGCCCCCCAAUUUCUAGGGUCUAGAAAGCCUCCACUUUAUGGAGUAUGAGAUUCUCCAUCAUUCCCCUGGGGCCUAGGCUUGUUCCUGCUCAGCCCCCACUGGACAAUGGCUUUCUGGAGGAGAGGCCGAGGAUGGGACUUGGGACUUAUCUAGAAUACAGUCCUCUAAAUUCAGGCUGAAGGGGGACCCCCAAGAUGUCCUUCCUUCCCAGGUCAAACUUGAACUCAAUUAAAAUGGUGUGUAUGACUCUUCUGAAGGAAGGCUGGUCUUUCACCUGGCAUCCCCCUAGGCUCUUAAAAGCAGGGAAGAAUGAAGAGGAAGUGGGCCCCUUCCCUUCAUCACUGGUCACCGUUGAAUCCUUCCCACCCUGCCCCAGGCCUCAGCUGGAAUCCAAAGUCUUCCCCAUUUACCACCAACACGGGGGGGGGGGGGGGGGGGGCGUCUACUUAGCUUGUGGCCUUGAGCAGAUUCUAGAAGUUCUGUCCCAGCCUGAGGGGUGUGACCAGUCACCCAGGCUCUUUAAGUUUGUAUAUUAAAACUUUUUAUAUUAAAAAAAAAUUGUUAGAAAAGAAGGCAAAAGAAUAGGAGGUGGUAGAGGACACAAGAUUCACUGAUAGACUUUUGUUUUUAGUAUGAAAGACAUGAGCAAGCCCGAGAGCAAAGAGCCAAUGGAUGAAAGAGAGAAAAAGUUAAUGAUGGAAGCAGGUCCUGGAGGAGACAGGUUGAGAGAUGCGAAGGGAUCACCCACAGAGGGGCUGGCUCCAAACAGGAAGAGAGAGACUCAUCCUUUGAGACCAGUGGAUGCUGAUGUCACAUAGAAUCAGAUGGGACUAGCCACAUAAGACAUUCUUGGGGAAGAUCAUCUGAAUUUUAAGUGGACCCCAAGUCAUUUAACAAACCAGAGAAUGCCUACUUGGUGAAAACCAUUCACAUAUAUCAUUACAUUAAAUCCUCACAACAACCCUAUGAGGUACAUAUUGUUCUGAUUUUACUCUAGAGGAAAGAGCCUCAGAGAAGUUAAGCAACAUGUCCUAGGUCACACAGUUUACAAGAAGCGGACCUGGGCUCUGAAUCCAGGCCUGUUUAGCACAUGUUCUUUGUAUGACCUCACGUCACACCAUGGUGCCUUAGAGCAAAGUGGAGGUGGUUGUGCCUGUCAUAGAAAGCCCGUAUGAGUGGUCUUAGGGGACAGUGAGUUUUUUAAUCUCUGAAAUUACCACAGAGGUGUUAUCUAGGUAUAGAUCGUGUUCUGGAUUCCAGAUUUUCUAGUUUGUCUAGAAAUCUGUCCAGCUGUAGCAAACAGCACAGGCCCACUUAGGGCCUCCAAGAGUCAGAUGAUAGCCUGGUUAGAAUUUGAGCUAAAAAUAAGCUAACUACCUCCUGAUUUUGUGCCUUAUAUUCAUUAAAGAGUGUCUUUUUGAUAGUUGAAAGUGUGGCAAGGGAUGGAGAAAAUAUUUUCAGUCCUGAAGAUUCUUAACCAGUACCCAUGACUAAGUACCAUGAAUUAAAUGAUCCUCUAUCAAACUGGUAAUAGUGGCUGCAUCUGGCAGAAGGGACCUAGGGGAUGUCCAGGGAUAUUGGCCUACGUACAUAUGUUAUUGAGUCAAAUGCACUUAAAAUUGUAUCUCUAUAUUACGGCAAAACUGAGUUAUUACAUGCGAAGUCCUCAGGUAACACUUCUGCCUGCAGUGGUUCUCCUCAAGUGCAGUUACUAGAAGAGUAGACAGACACCGCGGGGGGCUCCGUGCUGUACGACGCAAAGUGCGCGCAGUCUCUGGACCGGCAUUCACAGAUUCUCAUGAUCCGCUCUGCUGGAACCGCUCUCCCCCAUCACGUCAGCAGUUCCCACGUGGAGCAGUGGGGAAAGAUGGUGCAAGGAAGAAAUCAAAGCUUCCUUCUGGAAACAUGAGCGUUCUAGGAAUUAACGCUGGAAGGAGGAGAGCAGGUUCCUGGGCUUACACGGUUGUUGUACGAGGCUCUCUCCUGAAGCUGGACUAGAGAUCGAAUGAUUCAAGGGCUGAUGAUACAGGAAUGCAGGGGUGGAGUGAAAAGAAAGAGUAAGGCUACUAUGGGGGCAGGUUUUUAAGAAAGUGCCUGGAAAUAUUGGAAAAGGCUAAAAAGCUAGGUCGAGGCCAGUUUGUGGGAAUUGGGACCCUCCCCAAAUCUUGCGUUUUCCAUGAAGCUCUCAGAACUGGCCAGAAGAAAGACUUUCCCUUUCCUUGGCUUUGAUGAGUCUAGACUUGGAAUUCUAUUAGUCACCCUCCCCCGACCUCUAAUUCAUUCUAAAAUAUUGGGCACCUCCUAUGUGCUAGGCUCUUCUCUAGGCUUUUGGAAUACAGGCAUGAAUAAGAAGGACAAGAACGCUCCUUCUUACUUUCUGAUGCAAGCAGUUAGAAAAUAGAAAAUGUCAGGUGUUCCAAAAAAUGAAAUCAAAAUCAGAGUGAUGAGCUGGAGAGAACUGGCAGGCUACUUUAAAAUGGUCAGGAAAGGCCUCUCUGAGGAGGGGAAGUUGAAGCUAAAACAGAUUGAGAAGAAGGAAGCGGCACUUGAAGAUCUGUGGGAUGAGCAUUCUAAGGCAGAGUGAAGAGCAAAUGCAAGCUCUUCCCAAACUGAGAAACAGACGGAAGGACAAUGUGGUUGGAGUGAAGUAAGCGCAGGGGAGAGGUAUAGGAGGAGAGGUCAGAGAGAGGGGUUCUGGCUGGGGUGAGGAGUCUGGAUUUCAUCGUAAGGGCAAUAGAGAACCGUUGAAGGUUCUAGGCAGAGGACAGACAUGAUCCUAUUUGUGCGUCAAAAGCUCUCUUUGCUUAUGAUGUGGAGAAGAGAUUGUAUAGGGCAGAGAACGAAAUCAGAGGAAUCAGGAGGUUACUGCAGUAUAAUUCAGGGAAUGGGUUUCCUCCAGGGCGGAGGUAGAGAUGGAGGAGGAGUGGAGUGAUGGUGAGAUUCCGGAUAUGUUUUGGAGACAGAGUCAAUACAGCCUGCCGAUAAAUUAGGUGCAGAAGGUAAAGGAGGAAGGAAUCAGGGAUCAUUUUGAGGUCUGCAACUGGGCAACUAUGAACUUUUCCUUAUUUUCUAUUGCUGUUAUCUACCUUAAGAAGACUUAAAUUUUUUAAAUUAUAAAAGCAAUGUAUAUUCGUGUAGAACAUCUAGA